UACGUAGGUGGCAAGCGUUGUCCGGAUUUAUUGGGUUUAAAGGGUGCGUAGGCGGUCCUAUAAGUCAGUGCUGAAAUAUCCCGGCUUAACCGGGAGGGUGGCAUUGAUACUGCAGGACUUGAGUAAAGUUGAGGUUGGCGGAAUUGACGGUGUAGCGGUGAAAUGCUUAGAUAUCGUCAAGAACACCUAUUGCGAAGGCAGCUUACUAGGCUGUAACUGACGCUGAGGCACGAAAGUGUGGGGAGCAAACAGG
rnacentral:rRNA from 1 species